CAGUCGCCGCGGUAAAACGAAGGGGGCUAGCGUUGUUCGGAAUUACUGGGCGUAAAGGGCGCGUAGGCGGCCAUUCAAGUUAGAUGUGAAAGCCCUGGGCUCAACCUAGGAAUUGCAUUUGAUACUGUUUGGCUUGAGUUCGGGAGAGGUGAGUGGAAUUCCCAGUGUAGAGGUGAAAUUCGUAGAUAUUGGGAAGAACACCAGUGGCGAAGGCGGCUCACUGGACCGACACUGACGCUGAGGCGCGAAAGCGUGGGGAGCAAACAGGAUUAGAUACCCGCGUAGUCCCUGUCUCUUAUAC
rnacentral:rRNA from 1 species